rnacentral:lncRNA from 1 species
UUGACACCCUGACACCCUGUCAUUACGCCACUGCAACCACAAGGCAAUGAACGGGUAGUCUGCAAAAAUUCAUCCUCGUCUUCAAGGCCUUUUUGAAUCGACGGCGACUCUCGUCGAGUGUUGAGUGGGGUUGAGUGACAUCCAGAAUCCAGUGGCAGUAAUGACAGUGACAUUUUGUGACAUCCUUGCCUCCAGGUUUCGGCCGCGGCGCGCCGCUGGCGCUUCGGAGUUCGGCUCAGUGGUUCGACCUCGCGGCUUGCAAAUAGAAUGGCGGUUGUUUUUCUUCAGCAAAUGUGAAAUGUAAAGAAAUAUUUCCAGUACUAUUUGGUAUAUGUUUAAGCCAAAAAUCUCAAGUUAUGCUUUAGUUGCUGGUUUAUUGCCAGAUUGACUGUUAUGCAACAUGCUCAUACCUCUACUGCAAAAUUGACUGACUGUUUCACAGCACAUUCGUAUACUUUUACAGCAAAUCAUUUUGACUGACUGUUUCACAGCACAUUCGUAUACUUUUACAGCAAAUCAUUUUGACUGACUGUUUCACAGCAGAUUCGUAUACUUUUACAGCAAAUCAUUUUGGAUGGAACAUGUGAGAAAUCCUUUUGACCUUUGUUACAUUGACCCAUUUAAAAGAUCACUAUUAAGCAAACUUUGACUGAGAGUUUUUUAAUGAUGCAUGUGUUACGAAUCAGUGCAGCGAACGAGUGUACUUAGCGAUCCUUCACAGAGAGGAAAUGAUUAACCGUACAAUAAGGUCCCCACAAUGUAGGGAAAACUUACGCCAUCAGAGGUCCCCACAACGCCAUCUGCGUACGUAUGUAUGUCCGUGUG